rnacentral:rRNA from 1 species
UACGAAGGGGGCGAGCGUUGUUCGGAUUUACUGGGCGUAAAGGGCGCGCAGGCGGCUCAUUUUGUCAGGCGUGAAAGCCCCGGGCUUAACCUGGGAACUGCGUUUGAUACGGAUGGGCUAGAGUUCGGGAGAGGAGCGUGGAAUUCCCAGUGUAGAGGUGAAAUGCGUAGAUAUCUGGAAGAACACCAAAGGCGAAGGCAGUGUCCUGGGUGGUCGCUGACGCUGAGAGGCGAAAGCCAGGGGAGCGAACGGG